rnacentral:rRNA from 1 species
CAAGGUGAGAGAUACGGAGGUAGAGCACUGAAUGUCCUAGGGGGUAUUGCACCUACCGAAGACUAUCAAACUCCGAAUGCCGUCAUCUUAUACUUGGGAGUCAGACUGUGGGUGAUAAGAUUCAUAGUCGAAAGGGCAACAGCCCAGAUCGUCAGCUAAGGUCCCUAAAUGUAAGUUAAGUGGUAAAGGAUGUGGGAUUGCACAGACAACCAGGAUGUUGGCUUAGAAGCAGCCACUCAUUCAAAGAGUGCGUAAUAGCUCACUGGUCGAGUGAUCCUGCGCCGAAGAUUUCCGGGGCUAAAACUUACUACCGAAGCUACGGCAUCAGUAAUGAUGGGUAGGGGAGCUUCCCAUACGGGUUGAAGCAUGACCGUAAGGACAUGUGGACAGUAUGGGAGUGAGAAUGUUGGCAUGAGUAGCGAGAUGUGGGUGGGAAUCCCACAGGCCGUAAACCCAAGGUUUCCAGGGGAAGGUUCGUCCGCCCUGGGUUAGUCGGGACCUAAGCUGAGGCCGAAAGGCGUAGGGGAUGGACAACAGGUUGAUAUUCCUGUACUACCGAUAACAGGUUGAGAGAAGGGAUGAAACAGUAGGAUGAGCUAAGCACACUGCAGGUUAUGUGUGCCCAAGCAUUGAGGCAGUCAAAGUAGGCAAAUCAGCUUUGAUAAUGCUGGGAUGUGAAGGGGAGCGCAAUU